rnacentral:tRNA from 1 species
GCGGAGGUUGCCGAGUGGUCAAAGGUGCCAGGUUCAGGGCCUGGUCGUGUAGACGUUCGCGGGUUCGACUCCCGUCUUCCGCA